CCUACGGGUGGCAGCAGUGAGGAAUAUUGGUCAAUGGACGGAAGUCUGAACCAGCCAUGCCGCGUGCAGGAAGACGGCUCUAUGAGUUGUAAACUGCUUUUGUACAAGGGUAGAACUGAAUACGUGUAUUCAGCUGAAAGUACUGUACGAAUAAGGCUCGGCUAACUCCGUGCCAGCAGCCGCGGUAAUACGGAGGAUCCAAGCGUUAUCCGGAUUUAUUGGGUGUAAAGGGUGCGUAGGCGGAGUGAUAAGUUAGAGGUGAAAUGUCCGGGCUUAACUCGGGAACUGCCUUUGAUACUGUUGAUCGAGAGAGUAGAUGCGGUAGGCGGAAUGUAUGGUGUAGCGGUGAAAUGCGUAGAGAUCAGACAGAACACCGAUGGCGAAGGCGGCUUACCAAUCUAUAACUGACGUUGAGGCACGAAAGCGUGGGGAGCAAACAGGAUUAGAUACCCUAGUAGUC
rnacentral:rRNA from 1 species